AAUGAACGCUGGCGGCAGGCCUAACACAUGCAAGUCGAACGAAGGCUUCGGCCUUAGUGGCGCACGGGUGCGUAACGCGUGGGAAUCUGCCCCUCGGUUCGGAAUAACAGUUAGAAAUGACUGCUAAUACCGGAUGAUGACUUCGGUCCAAAGAUUUAUCGCCGAGGGAUGAGCCCGCGUAAGAUUAGGUAGUUGGUGGGGUAAAGGCCUACCAAGCCGACGAUCUUUAGCUGGUCUGAGAGGAUGAUCAGCCACACUGGGACUGAGACACGGCCCAGACUCCUACGGGAGGCAGCAGUGGGGAAUAUUGGACAAUGGCGAAAGCCUGAUCCAGCAAUGCCGCGUGAGUGAUGAAGGCCUUAGGGUUGUAAAGCUCUCUUACCAGGGAUGAUAAUGACAGUACCUGGAGAAUAAGCUCCGGCUAACUCCGUGCCAGCCGCCGCCGUAA
rnacentral:rRNA from 1 species